rnacentral:hammerhead_ribozyme from 1 species
GCACUGCUUAGGAGUCCCACAAUAGGACGUAACGACCGUCCAGUAC